GUGAUACAGGGUUUCCUGGAAUUCCAGGUAAUUCUUUUUUAAUAUCACAAAACAUAACAAUCCUUUACACUGACUGUAUACUGUACACAUACCUAAAUAUAUGAAUAAAGAAUCUAGAUCUGAUAUGUACUUACAAGAAAAGCCUAAAUUAAUAAACUGAAUCACUGAAUGGCAUCAUUUAGGUCCUCCUGGUCUCAUUGGUCACCCUGGACAGGAAGGUCCUCGGGGACCCAAAGGAAGUGCAGGUAUGAGGCAGAGACACUGAACUUCUAGCUGUUGAUUGUUUCCAUCACAGCUAAAGACAGAUUUUGUGAUGCUGACAUGUGACAAAGAUGAUUCAGGUCUAAAACAUCUGCUUGUGUGUAUUAUUCACAGGUGAAUCAGGAAAUGAUGGUUUACCUGGGCCGAGGGGGCGAGAGGGGCCAGUGGGUCCAAGAGGAGAACUGGGACCCUCAGGAUUUGGAGAGAAGGGAGAGAAAGGUUCAUCUGGCGAUGUUGGUGCACCUGGGCUAGCAGGACCACCAGGCCCUGUGGGACCCAAAGGUAAGACCAUCUGCUCUCUGACAAAGAGAAAAACAAGCAGAGGGACAUCAGUACAGAAUGUAAAAUUAUGUAGUUUUAAGAUGGAUCUAAAUUUGGGGGGAAACAUGGUUUGUCUCUGCAGGUGAUGCAGGUGCACAAGGCAUUCCAGGUCUUCAAGGAGUUCCUGGACCCCAAGGCUUCCGUGGAGAUUCUGGUGAUCCUGGACCCAAGGGUGACAAAGGACCUGCUGGGCCACCUGGGGUUAAAGGUCAGUAGAAGCCAGAGAUACAUAGGGUAUUGCAAGUAAAGCUGUUUUUCAUGUACUUAAGUUUUUAUGCUGAUGAUUAUGAUUACAUUGUCUUUAUUACUAAAUAAGGCGAUCAGGGAGAGAGAGGACCACGUGGUACCACUGGUGAGCCAGGUCAGGUCGGACCAGCAGGGCCUGCUGGUGAGAAAGGUCUUAAAGGAUCAGCAGGUGCUCCUGGGCCAGAUGGUGUUAAAGGAAUUCGAGGGGAUCAAGGUCCGAGUGGGUUGCCUGGAGCUCGGGGACCCUCAGGGCCUCCUGGAGAUGCAGGAAUACCAGGUACUCCAGGACUCCAAGGACCACCAGGUUUGCCAGGUACUCCGGGCCAACCAGGAGCUAAAGGUGAGCCCGGUGAGCCCGGAAGAGUCAUUUCGGCAGGUGAGGGAACACAAAUGAUAAUUAGUUAGUAAUAAGAAUAAUAAUCUGGCUCAUUUGAUGGUUACAACAUUCAUCAUUAUUUCUGGUCACUCCUUGCAGGCGCUAAUACUAACACUGUGGGUGUUCCUGGACCCCCUGGACCUCCUGGAGCUCCGGGUCCUUCCGGACCACCUGGACUAUCAGGUGUCAUGACGUUCAUCAUGGAUUAUCUCUAAUGCAUUUAACAUGAAAUGAAAUGAAUCAGUUAAACUGCAGUAUGUUCAUGAUACUAUUGCUAACUUUUUAUUUUUCUUUUAAACCGCAGGUCCUAUUGGUCCUGCUGGUCUUCCUGGUUCACCUGGUAAAAUGAUUUUUUUUUUUCUAUAAAACAAAAAGACUGAGAAAGUUUUAGUUUCC
ensembl:lncRNA